GACGAACGCUGGCGGCGUGCCUAAUACAUGCAAGUCGAGCGCAGGAAACUGACGGAACUCUUCGGAGGGAAGGCAGUGGAAUGAGCGGCGGACGGGUGAGUAACACGUAAGGAACCUGCCUCAAGGAUUGGGAUAACUCCGAGAAAUCGGAGCUAAUACCGGAUAGUUCAACGGACCGCAUGGUCCGCUGAUGAAAGGCGCUCCGGCGUCACCUUGAGAUGGCCUUGCGGUGCAUUAGCUAGUUGGUGGGGUAACGGCCCACCAAGGCGACGAUGCAUAGCCGACCUGAGAGGGUGAUCGGCCACACUGGGACUGAGACACGGCCCAGACUCCUACGGGAGGCAGCAGUAGGGAAUCUUCCACAAUGGACGAAAGUCUGAUGGAGCAACGCCGCGUGAGUGAUGAAGGUUUUCGGAUCGUAAAACUCUGUUGUAAGGGAAGAACACGUACGAGAGGGAAUGCUCGUACCUUGACGGUACCUUACGAGAAAGCCACGGCUAACUACGCGCCAGCCGCCGCCGUAAGAC
rnacentral:rRNA from 1 species